AUCUUGGGAAUGGGCGAAAGCCUGACCCAGCAACGCCGCGUGGGCGAAGAAGGCCUUAGGGUUGUAAAGCCCUUUUGCGGGGGACGAUGAUGACGGUACCCCGCGAAUAAGCCACGGCUAACUACGUGCCAGCAGCCGCGGUAAUACGUAGGUGGCAAGCGUUGUCCGGAUUUACUGGGCGUAAAGGGCGCGCAGGCGGUCUGUUUAGUCCAGGGUGAAAGCUCCCGGCUCAACUGGGAGAGGUCCUUGGAUACUGGCAGACUCGAGGGAGGCAGAGGAAAGUGGAAUUCCCGGUGUAGUGGUGAUAUGCGUAGAUAUCGGGAGGAACACCAGUGGCGAAGGCGGCUUUCUGGGCCUUACCUGACGCUGAGGCGCGAAAGCGUGGGGAGCGAACCGG
rnacentral:rRNA from 1 species